rnacentral:piRNA from 1 species
UGCUUGAGGACGCCGCACACCUGUUCCAGGU